GACGAACGCUGGCGGCGUGCUUAACACAUGCAAGUCGAACGGAAAGGCCCUGCUUUUGUGGGGUGCUCGAGUGGCGAACGGGUGAGUAACACGUGAGUAACCUGCCCUUGACUUUGGGAUAACUUCAGGAAACUGGGGCUAAUACCGGAUAGGAGCUCCUGCUGCAUGGUGGGGGUUGGAAAGUUUCGGCGGUUGGGGAUGGACUCGCGGCUUAUCAGCUUGUUGGUGGGGUAGUGGCUUACCAAGGCUUUGACGGGUAGCCGGCCUGAGAGGGUGACCGGCCACAUUGGGACUGAGAUACGGCCCAGACUCCUACGGGAGGCAGCAGUGGGGAAUAUUGCACAAUGGGCGGAAGCCUGAUGCGGCAACGCCGCGUGCGGGAUGACGGCCUUCGGGUUGUAAACCGCUUUCGCCUGUGACGAAGCGUGAGUGACGGUAAUGGGUAAAGAAGCACCGGCUAACUACGUG
rnacentral:rRNA from 1 species